CGAAGGCUUCUGGGGUAAUGA
rnacentral:miRNA from 1 species